CACCGCCCGUCGCUCCUAACGAUUGAAUGGUCCGGUGAAGUGUUCGGAUCGCGGCGACGGGGGCGGUUUGCCGCCUCCGACGUCGCGAGAAGUCCAUUGAACCUUAUCAUUUAGAGGAAGGAGAAGUCGUAACAAGGUUUCCGUAGGUGAACCUGCGGAAG
rnacentral:rRNA from 16 species